UGCGUAGGCGGUUAGGUAAGUCAGAUGUGAAAUUCCAGGGCUCAACCUUGGAACUGCAUUUGAUACUGCUUGACUAGAGUACUGGAGGGGAGACUGGAAUUCACGGUGUAGCAGUGAAAUGCGUAGAUAUCGUGAGGAAGGCCAGCGGCGAAGGCGAGUCUCUGGACAGUUACUGACGCUGAGGCACGAAGGCGUAGGGGAGCAAACG
rnacentral:rRNA from 1 species